GACGAACGCUGGCGGCGUGCUUAACACAUGCAAGUCGAGCGGUAAGGCUCCUUCGGGAGUACACGAGCGGCGAACGGGUGAGUAACACGUGAGCAAUCUGCCCUUCACUUUGGGAUAACUUCCGGAAACGGAAGCUAAUACCGAAUACGACCACUUCAGGCAUCUGAUGGUGGUGGAAAGUUCCGGCGGUGAAGGAUGAGCUCGCGGCCUAUCAGCUUGUUGGUGAGGUAACGGCUCACCAAGGCUUCGACGGGUAGCCGGCCUGAGAGGGUGACCGGCCACACUGGGACUGAGACACGGCCCAGACUCCUACGGGAGGCAGCAGUGGGGAAUAUUGGACAAUGGGCGAAAGCCUGAUCCAGCAACGCCGCGUGAGGGAUGACUGCCUUCGGGUUGUAAACCUCUUUCAGCGGGGACGAAGCGAAAGUGACGGUACCCGCAGAAGAAGCACCGGCCAACUACGUGCCAGCCGCCGCGGUAACAC
rnacentral:rRNA from 1 species